AGGCGGAAGCCUCCGUCGCCGGAGAGCGUCCGUAUUGGGGUGCCACGCCGGCGGAGCAGACGCCGGCGACGAUCUGGAGCACAUCAGCGCAUGUUCAUUAGGCGGACCAUCAGCGCAGGUUCAUUAGCCGGAUGAUCGGCUGCGACCUGCAAGGACCGUGAAGGUGACAAGUCGUUUGGCGCUGGCUUCUUGAAAUAGAUCUCCAAGAUUAAACCGAGGCGAUGGGAGAGAGGCGACGGGAGAAGGCGGCCAGCCAGCAUCGACGGAGCUAGCGAGAUGUCACGGUCGUCGGCGACAAAGGCGCACACCAGUUGAUUUUGCAGCAAGAAAGCGCCUCGCUGGAUCUCUCUUCUUGCGGCAAAGCACUGGUAAAUGGACAGGAGGUGGAUGUGGUUACUUUCGAUGGUUUGAUGCUGAGGGAUGAAGUAUGGAGAUUUCAAGAUGGUCAUAGUGAGCUUCUGCCUUCCUGCGCUGAAAGCAGAGUGAAUAAAAGAAGCUGCAGCAUUUCGACAUCAUGUUGAUGAGAAGAAUGCCAAUGUUUUGUAUGCUCUAGUUGCAGGCAUUGUGAUGAUGUGUUCCUAGUAGAGAUAAUAAUCUGUAAUGAAAAUUGAGUGUACUGUGUUGAAGCAGACUUAAUGCAGAAUGAGAUCAUAUGAAUUUGAUGUUCUAUCCAGAAA